GUGCUCACUUUGGCAGCACAUAUACUAAAAUUGGCACGAUAAAAGAUUAGCAUGGCCCCUGCGCAAGGAUGAUGAGCAAAUUCAUGAGGCAUUCCAUAUUUUU
rfam:Gorilla gorilla gorilla genomic chromosome, chr2B, whole genome shotgun sequence